CUUAGUUAUAUAGGGAGGGACACCCAUUUCAGUUCACAUAUGCAAUUGCUUUGAAAUUGAAGCUCAAAUCAAAGAACUCAAUCAAAAUCAUCUAACCAAAUUAAAAUUUCAGGCUGAUUAUGCUAGCAGUUUGAAAUUUGUCCAUUUAGAAUUGGAAGAUCAUCUAAUCACUCAGUGCAAUCACAUCAUGAGAUAUCUCAGAAUCCGCAAGUUAGCCUACGGCACACCGGGUAACAAUAAUAGCAAUAACAUUCUCUUCAUGCUCCGGACUUCAACAAAUUCUCCUUACAACAUAGGUGUUUACAUAACUAGACGCCACAAAAAUUAGAAUGAGUGCAACCCAACUAGCGGCCUCGACCACGUCCACGACCGCGUCCACGGCCCCGACCACGCCCCAAAGGCCUCCCGGCAGUUGGCUUCUUAGGUUUGACCCUUGGUGUCUCUUCAACCAACAAAGUCUCAAGAUUCAAGCUGUCAGGAAGAAUAUAAUAUCGGAUAUUGUUACCCCUCACACUGAGAUGAUCUAAAGUUACUGGAUUUUUCCCCUUCAAUGUUAGUUUCACAGUCUUCAGGUGAGUAUUCAUGCUAAUAUCCACGCCUAUAAUCAGCAAAUUAACCAGUUAUAAAUAAAUGUUUCUUCACCCAUUUGAGCAUAUAUCUAGCAACAAGUAUUAUUCACUAUUUAAUUGAACAAAAUAUCAAAGUUAUCCGAAAAAUUUUCUCUACCUUAAAACGUUCAUAUCAAACAGCGAAAAUGGAAAAAUAUAUUCUAUCAAACAACAUAGAUAUUGCUUGUUCUUGAGAGAACAUGUGCAAGAAAAAUAGAAAGGAGGAAAAUUUGACAAUAAUUGUCAGGAUUGCACUCAACUCAGCCAAAACUUCCACUAGGCGAUUAAAUCAGGUUGUUGAGCAAAAUUGAAUACCAAGGCAAUGGACUUAAAAUGAAUACUUAUCGAAAGAUUGUAGAAAACAAAGCCAUGAGCCGUCGUGUUAAUGUUAAGGAAAAACUAAAGCUUAGUUAUUAUCACAUUUCAGAAAACCGGAAAGUGGAACAAAACAUUAGGAAAAUAUAUAACUAGAGGAAUUAAUUAAUAUUUCACUGAUGAACAAUUGAGGCAAAAAGCCAGCAUCCCCACAUCAAUAGACAGGAAACAAUUAUCAAGGAUAAUAUAAUACACAUUGAUCUCAACUGAUGGAUCUAAUAACUUUUACAAGAAUAUGUAAUAAAGGUAGUUUCAGAAAAAGAGAAAAUUUCAAGGGAAAUGCAGAGAAUGCGCCAAAAAAUCCAAGUACUAGAAUUAAGACUGACAUCCAUUAUCCAUUAGACAAAGUUCUGCAUAUCUACAUAAUGGAUAUGACAUACUAGUCUUCUAAUUAUCUAUCUUGAGAACAAUUUAUUAGAUCCUAAACCCCUCCAUUGAUAGUCUUCUAUACAAUCCAUGUGGGUCAAAGUAAACAUUUUUUCCUAUGGUCUGCCACUGAAGCAAACUGUAUCACAUGCUACCUUAAUUUAACCUUGGUUCAUUUGAUGUUAGUCCAGAAGAACCUAGAACAAUUAAGGUAGCAAAAGAAAGUGUGUGUGUGUGCAUGCGCGCGUGUGUAUUUAACCAUCUGCAGAAGACACAUCAAAAAAUAAUCUGAAACUACUGAAAAGACCAAAUUGUACAUCUUCAUCUUUUAGCACAAGCACCCUUGCAAAACUUACUAAAUAUAUAAAAAAGGAGUAAAUAUAAAUAUAUAGGAAUAUCUUAGAAGUAAAUCCACUAUUAAAUACAUAGUAACAACUUAGAAAUAAUCUAUCAAUUUUCAUCUUCAUCAAUGAAAUGAUAUAUGCAUUAUCCAUAUAACAAUUACGAAAGGCUUUACCCUAUCACAGGAUAAUGACUGAUGAAGUUUCAUGGGUGGGAGAAAUGGUGCCUAUUUAGUAUUUACCUAGGAUAAGGAGUUAAUUUAAAUCUUGAAAGGGUAAAUUACAAUAUAGUUCUUGUAUUUUACCAUUAUUAACACUUUCAUCCUUUUAUUUUAGAAAAUAAAUUAAAACGUCCCUCAGUUAUGCUUGAAUCAAACACUUGCAUCCCUCCGUCCAUUGUCCUCAGUAUAUUCCAGCAUAUUCCACCAGUCAAACAAUUCAAGUGCGAGAUGAGUUAUUUUAUUCCUAUAAUAACCCGGAUCCUCUUCCCCCUUUCUUCCUUGUUUCCUCUAUCUCAUCUCUGUUAGCUCAUCAAAAAGACACCUUGUACCUUUUACUUCUCUACCUCAUCAGUCAUCACUCACAAGCCACCUUACAGUCUCACCACCUGUGCUCUCAAACAAUGUAUCCUCAACAAAAGGAUCAAGAAAGGUCAACGAAUUCAUGCCCAACUGGUUAUUACAGGAAACCUCUCCCUCACGCAACACCAGCCUCAUCAACAUGUAUGCUAAAUGCAACCAAAAGAACCAAGCCCUUUCGCUCUUUAAUAGCAAUGCAGAUUAUAAUCAUAAUUUUUUACACAUAAACACAAUGCAAUUUUUUAUUUCCAAUGGGCUUGCAAGAAAUGAA
rnacentral:misc_RNA from 1 species